GACGAACCGUGCAAACGUUGUUCGGAAUCACUGGGCUUAAAGGGCGCGUAGGCGGGCUCGCCAGUCUGUGGUGAAAGCCCCCGGCUUAACCGGGGAAGUGCCAUGGAUACUGCGAGCCUCGAGGAGGGUAGGGGCAUCUGGAACAGCCGGUGGAGCGGUGAAAUGCGUUGAUAUCGGCUGGAAACUCCGGUGGCGAAGGCGAGGUGCUGGCCCCUUUCUGACGCUGAGGCGGCGAAAGCCAGGGGAGCAAACGGG
rnacentral:rRNA from 1 species